AUUCACAGUUGAUCACUUACGGCCUUCGUGGUUUUUGCGGUCACCCGGCCUACGUAGACCAGUCCUUCAAUGGAUGCAGUCCCUGAAUUUGGACACAGCACUCAGACACUUCACCAAUGGAUGGCAUUUAAGGCUGACCAGGGCUUUUCCGUACCCUCAGCACAAAUAGUAAAGGGAUUUGCUUGUUUCCUCUAUUGUUUACAUUUGAUGGUGGAGUUUUCCAUCUCCUCCAAAGGAAAAUUCUAUGAUGUCAUCAAUUCUGCUCUCUGGUGGCUGAGUUAUUUACAAAUAAACUGGUCUGAGUGUGUACCAUGGACUAUUUCCUCUGGGGGCCUCCCUCGGUCCUAAGAUUGUUGUGGACGUACCUCUGCAUGCUUCUAGCUGGCCUGUAAGAACUUUACGGAUCUCUGACACCCACAUAUUCUUCACAUCCAUGGAGGGAGCCUUGGGUAGAGAACACACACAUACACA